rnacentral:rRNA from 1 species
CUCGAGGCCAGAUCUUUCCGGUUGAUCCUGCCGGACCCGACUGCUAUCGGAUUGGGACUAAGCCAUGCGAGUCAACCCGCAAGGGUGGCGCACGGCUCAGUAACACGUAGUCAACCUACCCUGAGGACGAGGAUAACCCCGGGAAACUGGGGAUAAACCUCGAUAGGUCAUAGUUUCUGGAAUGGGCUAUGGCUCAAAUCUAUAUGGCCUCAGGAUGGGACUGCGUCCGAUCAGGUUGUUGGUGGGGUAAUGGCCCACCAAGCCUAUAACCGGUACGGGCUCUGAGAGGAGGAGCCCGGAGAUGGGCACUGAGACAAGGGCCCAGGUCCUAUGGGGCGCAGCAGGCGCGAAACCUCCGCAAUGGGCGAAAGCCCGACGGGGUCAGUCCGAGUGGCUCCCGCUAAGGGAGUCUUUUGCCAGCUGUAAACAGGCUGGUGAAUAAGGGGUGGGCAAGCCUGGUGUCAGCCGCCGCGGUAAUACCAGCACCCCGAGUGGUCGGGAUGAUUAUUGGGCCUAAAGCAUCCGUAGCCGGUGUAACAAGUCCUCCGUUAAA